UGCUCUGUUUGCUGAGAUUAUUGUCUUCCAGCUUCAGCAGCAAAGCUGUGCUGUCAUGUAACCCACUUUUUGCUGCAGCAUCCUUAUCACUCAGACUAACCAAACAGCCAGCUUGUCAGGAUGCCAACAGUUCUGAGGAGUACAGUGUGCAUUACAACAAAUCCCAUGCUUUGAAAAGGCCUUCAGAAAGAUCAAGUCAUAAAACAUCUAGCAAUUAAUUAUAAGGAAAUAACUGAAGAUAUGCACAUAUGCCCAGAACACUUUUAUUUAAAUUAAUUGCAUCUACAUUUUAAACAUGCCUUCACUUUCUUGUGCAUUCAAUUUAUAUAACUCAAAUGUAAAUUUAUAUUAUUUGUUGAACAUCUAGUAUUUUUCCCCACCUUGUUCCAGGUACUGUGGAAGAUACAUAAAGAAGCUAAUUUUGUCUGGAAUGUGGGAUUUAUCAAUAGGGGUUUAAGGUUGUGCUCUUUAUGCUGCCUAAGAUCACAAGAUUUUUCCUUAUGUUUUAUAAGAAGACUUUUAUAGUUUUAUUGUUUACAUUUAGGUCUAUCUAUGAUAUGUUUUAAAUAAAUUUCUGCAUAAUGCAUGAGAUAUGAUUGAUUUUCAUUAUUUUGUAUAUGGAUGUCCAAUUGUUCUAGCACUUUUUGUUGAAAUGACUUUUCUUCAUUGACUUUUGCCUCUGUACCUUUGUCAGAAUUCAGUUGGCCAUUAUCAUAGGCAUUUACAUAUGUCCAAACCCAUCAAACUGUACAUAUUAAAUGUAUUCAAUUAUUUAUAUAUCAGUAAAAAUUAUUUAUUCUUUUUAUACCUCAAUAAAACUGAUAAAGAAUUAAUUGGUUA